UCUUUGUAACAUCUUGACAGUUGACACUCCCUCAAAAACCCUCCUUUCUUCUUCCUUCUUUGUAUGUGUGUUCGUCUGUGUCACUGUGACUGUGUGUGUACCUAGUUGUAAUGAUCGCCAAACAACUAAUGCUUCUGCGUUAUCACUCCCAUUUUCUCAUUUCUCCCAACUUCUUCUUCCCCAAACUCUUCUCUUCCCCCACUUUUUUCUCUCUCCUCCGCAACUCCACCACAUUAUCCACCACUAUAGUCUCAUCCAAUUCUCUCUCCUCCUCCACUUAUGGCCCUUCUCUUCAAAAGGGUACCCUUCUUUCCAAAACCCCUCAAAACCCUUUUCUAGAUUCUGCUCUUAAUUCCCACCAACAACUUAAAAUUCCUGAAAAUGGUGACGAACCCCCAUUUGAUGAGGACCAAUUCACCCGGGUUUUCGACAUUGCUGCAAUUCGGGUGCCCUCGGACCGGUGUUUCGAGCUCGAAACCCGGCUUCGAGGGCAUUUGCUUAAUUGGCCUAGGGUUUCCAACAUUGCUAGGGUUCCUGGGGAUGAAAUGGAUGAGGAUAUCAAGGAAUUGUUGAUGGAGAAGAAGGGAGAAGCCGAGGUUGAGGAGGCGUUGAGCCGGAGGAUUUAUGGACAAGCUGAAGGUGAUGGGGAGGAAUUGAGUGGGGUUUUGUAUAGGGAUAAGCUUGCUAAGGAGUUUAAUGCUAGGGGUUUUGUCAAGUUUAGGAAUUUGGCCAAGAUUUCCAGACCCAAUAAGAGGAACAAGAGGCGGGAAGAAGGGGAGAGUCGCGGCGAGAGGAAGAAGAAGAGGAGGAGUAUAGUGGUGGAAGUUGUGGAGGAGAGAGAAAAUGUUGUUAGUGAUGGUGAAGAUUUGAGUGGGUUGUUGGGGGAUGAGUUUAAGGGAAGGAAGUGGAGGGGUUCUACUAGGUUGUUGCUUUUGGAUGAGACUUGUGUUGGAAGGAAAUUUGAUGAGCUUCCUGAAGCUAUUAAGGCAAUUUUAAGCGAAAGUUCAGAUGUUGUUACAAAUUCAUGUUAUGAGCUUGUGAGGUGUAACCUGACCUUGUUGUAUGAUUACUGGUUAAAUGACGAGGUCUUGGAGGCCUUGUUGCCUAAAGAUAUGGUUAUUCCUUCUGCUUUCGAAACUGUUGGGCAUAUUGCACACCUGAAUUUAAAAGAUGAACAUUUACCGUACAAGAAGGUCAUUGCAAAGGUAGUUUUGGACAAAAAUCAACCUAAGAUCCAAACAGUUGUAAAUAAAACCGAAGCUAUCAGCAACGACUUCAGGACGAUGGAGCUAGAGGUUCUAGCUGGAAAUCAUUCCCUUGUUACGACUGUCAUUGAGAAUGGGCUGCGUUUUCAAGUUGACCUCACAAAAGUCUAUUGGAAUUCCAGGUUAUCAACUGAAAGGCAAAGGCUCAUUAGUUGCUUUACGAGAGAUGAUGUAGUAUGCGAUGUUUUCUCUGGGGUUGGUCCAAUAGCUAUAUCUGCAGCAAAGAAAGUGAAACGUGUAUAUGCAAAUGAUCUGAAUCCUCAUGCAGUUGAUUAUCUUGAACGCAACUGUGUACUUAACAAGCUUGAGAGGAGGAUUCAGGUAUAUAACAUGGAUGGCAGAAGAUUUAUCGAGACUAUAUUCUCGAGUGACAAAACCCAUUCGGUGACACAAGUAGUCAUGAAUUUGCCAAAUAAUGCUGUGGAUUUUCUAGAUGUAUUUCGUGGGAUUUUCAGAAACAGAUCUAGGGAUAGAAAUCUAACCUUGCCAAGGAUCCAUAUCUAUGGUUUCUCUAGGGCUGAAGAUCCAGAGUUUGAUUUCCAUGAGCGGAUACUAGUGGCAUUAGAAGAAGCUGCAGUUGCUGUUGAAAUGCGGUGUGUCCGUGCUGUUGCACCAGGGAAAUGGAUGAUGUACGCCUCUUUUGUACUUCCUACGAAGGUGGCUUUUAGCAAGGACUAUGUAGACUGUACAUAAUUUGUCGAAAGCGAAGCUUAGAUAUAAUUUGUUCAGUCUUCUGGUUCUGGUUCCUCCUCCGAGUCUAAUCCAGGAGGGAGGAAUAGGGUAAGAAAUAACAGACAUCGUGGGGGGUAACAAUAAUAGAAAUCAGAAUAAUCGUGGUAAUGGUGGUGGCAAUGGGGGCAACAAUAAUUCUCGUGGCUCUGGAAACAACAACAACAACAAUGCUAAUCGGGAACGCUCCAAUGGUCAUCAAGCUGCCUAUUGUCCUCAAAGAUUCAAUUCCAGCUUUGUUCCUUCUUCAUCUGAAAGUGUCACUCGAGCCUUAGCUGCACUGUCUGUUGGUGGUAAAGCUAAUGAUUCAGUCUGGUACUCGGAUUCGAGAGGUGCAUCUCAUAUGACUCCUCAGGAUGACCAGACAACGGGAGAGGUUCUGCUUCGGGGAUCCAGUAAGCAAGGUGUCUACCCUCUUCAUCCUAUUGUUGUCCCUCCUAAGUCGUCAGUUCCUGCUUUCCUAGCCACUAAGGAGUCGGGUGACGUUUGACGGUCUCGUCUGGGUCAUACCUCUUCUAGCAUCUUAGGAUCUUUAUGUUCAAAUAAGUCUAUCACAUGUACUUCUAAGUUUCAUGAUGAUUGUGCUGGAUGUAAGUUAGACAAGAUACAUCCUUUACCUUUUUGAUUCAGUUGAACAUGUUUCCCCAUAUCCAUUAUAUAAAAUUCACAGUGAUCUUUGGCAAUCUCCUGUAUUGUCAAAUCAAUUAUUUCGUUA